AUUGAACGCUGGCGGCAGGCUUAACACAUGCAAGUCGAGCGGGGGAAGGUAGCUUGCUACCGGACCUAGCGGCGGACGGGUGAGUAAUGCUUAGGAAUCUGCCUAUUAGUGGGGGACAACAUCUCGAAAGGAAUGCUAAUACCGCAUACGUCCUACGGGAGAAAGCAGGGGAUCUUCGGACCUUGCGCUAAUAUAUGAGCCUAGGUCGGAUUAGCUAGUUGUUGGGGUAAAGGCCUACCAAAGCGACGAUCUGUAGCGGGUCUGAGAGGAUGAUCCGCCACACUGGGACUGAGACACGGCCCAGACUCCUACGGGAGGCAGCAGUGGGGAAUAUUGGACAAUGGGGGGAACCCUGAUCCAGCCAUGCCGCGUGUGUGAAGAAGGCCUUAUGGUUGUAAAGCACUUUAAGCGAGGAGGAGGCUACUUUAGUUAAUACCUAGAGAUAGUGGACGUUACUCGCAGAAUAAGCACCGGCUAACUCUGUGCCAGCCGCCGCAGUAA
rnacentral:rRNA from 1 species